UACGUAGGGUGCAAGCGUUAAUCGGAAUUACUGGGCGUAAAGCGUGCGCAGGCGGGUUUGUAAGUCUGUCGUGAAAUCCCCGGGCUUAACCUGGGAAUGGCGAUGGAGACUGCAAGGCUAGAGUUUGGCAGAGGGGGGUAGAAUUCCACGUGUAGCAGUGAAAUGCGUAGAGAUGUGGAGGAACACCGAUGGCGAAGGCAGCCCCCUGGGUCAAAACUGACGCUCAUGCACGAAAGCGUGGGGAGCAAACAGG
rnacentral:rRNA from 1 species